rnacentral:rRNA from 1 species
UCCGUAGGUGAACCUGCGGAAGGAUCAUUAUUGAGUGCGGGCUGCCUCCGGGCGCCCAACCUCCCACCCGUGAAUACCUAACACUGUUGCUUCGGCGGGGAACCCCCUCGGGGGCGAGCCGCCGGGGACUACUGAACUUCAUGCCUGAGAGUGAUGCAGUCUGAGUCUGAAUAUAAAAUCAGUCAAAACUUUCAACAAUGGAUCUCUUGGUUCCGGCAUCGAUGAAGAACGCAGCGAACUGCGAUAAGUAAUGUGAAUUGCAGAAUUCAGUGAAUCAUCGAGUCUUUGAACGCACAUUGCGCCCCCUGGCAUUCCGGGGGGCAUGCCUGUCCGAGCGUCAUUGCUGCCCAUCAAGCCCGGCUUGUGUGUUGGGUCGUCGUCCCCCCCGGGGGACGGGCCCGAAAGGCAGCGGCGGCACCGUGUCCGGUCCUCGAGCGUAUGGGGCUUUGUCACCCGCUCGACUAGGGCCGGCCGGGCGCCAGCCGACGUCUCCAACCAUUUUUUCUUCAGGUUGACCUCGGAUCAGGUAGGGAUACCCGCUGAACUUAAGCAUAUCAAUAAGCGGAGGA